rnacentral:rRNA from 1 species
AGCAGCCGCGGUAAUUCCAGCUCCAAUAGCGUAUAUUAAAGUUGUUGCAGUUAAAAAGCUCGUAGUUGAAUUUCGGGGUUAGUAGAUUGGUCAUGCCUUUGGUAUGUACUGGUCUUACUGAUUCCUCCUUCCUGAUGAACCGUAAUGCCAUUAAUUUGGUGUUGCGGGGAGACUGGACUGUUACUUUGAAAAAAUUAGAGUGUUUAAAGCAAGCUAACGCUUGAAUACAUUAGCAUGGAAUAAUGAAAUAGGACGUUCGAUCUUAUUUUGUUGGUUUUCUAGGAUUGACGUAAUGAUUAAUAGGGAUAGUUGGGGGCAUUAGUAUUCAAUUGUCAGAGGUGAAAUUCUUGGAUUUAUUGAAGACUAACUACUGCGAAAGCAUUUGCCAAGGAUGUUUUCAUUAAUCAAGAACGAAAGUUAGGGGAUCGAAGACGAUCAGAUACCGUCGUA